rnacentral:tRNA from 1 species
GCCCUUAUAGCUCAGUGGUAGAGCGCAUCACUAGUACAACUACUUAGGUAAACAGUGCACAUGAUGAGGUCCUCUGUUCGAUCCAGGGUGAGGGCA